rnacentral:tRNA from 2 species
GUCCUAGUAGCUCAGUGGAUAGAGCAACCGCCUCCUAAGCGGUAGGUCGCAGGUUCAACUCCCGCCUAGGACACCA